GACGAACGCUGGCGGCGUGCUUAACACAUGCAAGUCGAGCGGAAAGGCCCUUCGGGGUACUCGAGCGGCGAACGGGUGAGUAACACGUGAGUAACCUCCCCUAGGCUUUGGGAUAACCCCGGGAAACCGGGGCUAAUACCGGAUAUGACCUGGUGCCGCAUGGUGUUGGGUGGAAAGUUUUUUCGGCCUGGGAUGGGCCCGCGGCCUAUCAGCUUGUUGGUGGGGUGAUGGCCUACCAAGGCGAUGACGGGUAGCCGGCCUGAGAGGGCGACCGGCCACACUGGGACUGAGACACGGCCCAGACUCCUACGGGAGGCAGCAGUGGGGAAUAUUGCACAAUGGGCGGAAGCCUGAUGCAGCGACGCCGUGUGAGGGAUGAAGGCCUUCGGGUUGUAAACCUCUUUCAGCAGGGACGAAGCGUGAGUGACGGUACCUGCAGAAGAAGCGCCGGCCAACUACGUG
rnacentral:rRNA from 1 species